UGCACAACACAUGCAAGUCGAACGGAACUGUUUGCGAUUACAUCAAGGGCAGUUUAGUGGCAGACGAGUUAGUAACACGUAAGGAAUCUACCCUAGAGCGGGGGACAACCUGCUGAAAGGCGGGCUAAUACCCCAUACGAUCUAGAAGCAGCAUUGCUUUUGGAUAAAAGGCUUCGGCCUCUCUUGGAUGACCUUGCGUCCUAUCAGCUAGUUGGUGAGGUAACGGCUCACCAAGGCUAUGACGGGUACCCGGCCUGAAAGGGCGACCGGGAACGGAGGCACUGAGACACGGGCCUCACUUCUACGGAAGGCAGCAGUGGGGAAUUUUGGACAAUGGGGGAAACCCUGAUCCAGCAACGCUGCGUGAGGGACGAAGGCCUGAGGGUCGUAAACCUC
rnacentral:rRNA from 1 species